GCCAGCGUAGCUCAGAGGCAGAGCAGUGCUCUCAUAAGGCAUUGGUCGAAGGUUCGAUUCCUUCCGCUGGCA
rfam:Elusimicrobia bacterium RIFOXYC2_FTLL_34_12 rifoxyc2_full_scaffold_1800, whole genome shotgun sequence.